UGGUGCAGAUAGCGGUGAGGGUCCACCUGUUCCCAUUCCGAACACAGAAGUUAAGCUCACUUGCGCCGAAGAUACUUGGCUGGUAACGGCCUGGAAAAAUAGGUAAAUGCCAACACU
rnacentral:rRNA from 1 species